AUGGGCUGCUCGCAGGCGGAGGGCGCGCCGCAAGCGCCUCCGCGCCCCGGUCCCCGACCCGGCCCUCUGGCCGCCCUCCUGAUGAUUUUUUUUUUGCAAAAAAAAGAAAAAAAAAAAGCCACGAACUGCGAAGCCGGGGAUCAGUUCCGGGAGGGAUCCGGUGGGUUCCGUGCUCCAGAUCCCCGACAAGCGGAGAAAGAGGCGAGGGGACGCGGCGAGGGAGGGUCCCGCGCUGCCCCCGCCGCCGCGCGCGCCGCUCGCUCCCGGCGCGGGCCGGGCACGGCGCCCGGUUGCAAAAGCAUUUCCACGAACGGGCUCAGGGAGCAAAAGGCAACUCCAGCGAGGGCAGCUCGCCGGGCACCUCCUCCACCGCCGCCGCCGCCUUCAUCCCGCUCGGGAUCCUUCGCACGCGCAGCGGCAGAAAGCCCCCGGCGGCGAGACGCCCAAACCCAGCGCCGUCGGGGUUCCUCACCCCAAACGCGUGCCGAUCGGACGCAGAUAAUCGGGGAAAAAAUAGCAAUAAAUCACUGCAGGCUCUAUAAAAGCGGAAAGCGGCACUCGCCCUCCUGAGCGCCCCCCCCUUCCCCACCGAUCGGCUCCAAAGCUUUUUCCGUUUUGGUGAUAAAAAGGGGGAAUUGAGGUUUGGGGAGCGGGGUCGCCGCCGGGUUUUCCGCCUGCGGCGGGGAAGCAGACGGACGGAUGGCCCCGGUGGCGGGACAGGGGGACAGCCCACCCGUAACCCCCAAAAGCUUUGGGUCCAGAGGCCACGCGGGGCUCGCCGCACGCCCUCCUAACCCUUCUCCGUCCUUCCAGCGCGGCGUCCUGGGGUCCCCGCUCGGCUCCGCUCCCUCCUCCGGCCCCCCCGCGGCUGCGGCCGGCCCGUCGGGAGCUCGCUUUCGUUUUCUCCCCUAAAAGCCUGAGUCAGGAGUUACUCAUUUACGCUGGAAUACCCUCCCCGCGAAGCCCGGGUGACGCGGGAGGACGAGGAAGGAGGAAAAAAAAAGCACGGCACGGCUCACGAAUCCCCGCCGAGCUGGGGAAGCUGGCAGCAGACCCAAAGGGAUGGGAGGAAAAAAGGAAAAAAAAUUAAAAAAAAAGGUAUUUUCCAGCCUCAAACACCUGAAAGCCGGGAGCCGUCGCGGCAGCCGGCUUCCCUCGCCUCGCCCGCCGCGGGAGAAGCUCCAGGCUGGGCUUCGAGCUCCCCGAAUUUUGGGGAGCCCGAGGGCAGCACCGCUACUCGGGGUUACGCGAACUCCCUCCGUGGUUUUGCGUUUUCGGUUCUCCCGGGACACGAACACGCGCCCGGCCCCGAGCGCCCUGCGUGGGGAGAGGCGACGGGGCUGGGAUACCGGCGGGAGCAGCGGUCCUGGUGGGAAAUUGGGGGGAAAAAGGGCACAAAUGGCUCAAGGACACCAAGUUCCUUCCUCCCACGUGCCUGAGCACCGAGCGGGGACGGAACCGCCCGUCCCGUGCGAGUGCCCGCUGGAGGGAUCGUUUCAUUAAAAAAAAUAAAAUAAAAAAAAAUGAAGGGUUUGGGGUAGCU
rnacentral:lncRNA from 1 species